CAGCAGCCGCGGUAAUACGGAGGGAGCUAGCGUUGUUCGGAAUUACUGGGCGUAAAGCGCACGUAGGCGGCUUUGUAAGUUAGAGGUGAAAGCCUGGAGCUCAACUCCAGAACUGCCUUUAAGACUGCAUCGCUUGAAUCCAGAAGAGGUGAGUGGAAUUCCGAGUGUAGAGGUGUAAUUCGUAGAUAUUCGGAAGAACACCAGUGGCGAAGGCGGCUCACUGGACUGGUAUUGACGCUGAGGUGCGAAAGCGUGGGGAGCAAACAGGAUUAGAUACCCCUGUAGUCCCUGUCUCUUAUAC
rnacentral:rRNA from 1 species